CCAGCCUGCCCAGUGACAAUUCAACGGCCACGGUACCCUAACCGUGCAAAGGUAGCAUAAUCACUUGUUCUUUAAAUAAGGACUAGUAUCAACGGCAUCACGAGGAUCACACUGUCUCCUUUCCCUAAUCAGUGAAACUGAUUUCCCCGUGAAGAAGCGGGAAUAAAACUAUAAGACGAGAAGACCCCAUGGAGCUUUAAACUUUCAGCAACCAAACCACACAUCCCCUUAUAACCAUAAAGUUAUGCUUAACAGUCUUAGGUUGGGGCGAUCGCGGAGUAAAAAUUAACCUCCAUGACGAAAAGAACUAAUCUUUAUCCAAGACCUACUACUCUAAGAAUUAGAACACUAACGUUCAUGACCCGAUAAACGAUCAACGGACCAAGUUACCCUGGGGAUAACAGCGCAAUCUACUUCAAGAGCUCAUAUCGACAAGUAGGUUUACGACCUCGAUGUUGGAUCAGGGCAUCCUAGUGGUGCAGUCGCUACUAAUGGUU
rnacentral:rRNA from 1 species